CAAUAGCGUAUAUUAAAGUUGUUGCAGUUAAAAAGCUCGUAGUUGGAUUUCUGAAUUGAAUAUCCGGUCCGCUCGUCUCUGAUGAGUGCGUACUUAUGGAUAUUGGAUUCAUUUUUUGUGAGGACAUUUAUCUGUCAUUAAGUUGAUGGAUUUAUAGACUUGCAUCGUUUACUGUGAAAAAAUUAGAGUGUUUAAAGCAGGCGUUUGUUUUUGAAUACAUUAGCAUGGAAUAAUAAGAUAUGACUCGAAUGGUCUAUUUUGUUGGUUUGCACAUUUGAGUAAUGAUUAAUAGGGACAGUUGGGGGUAUUCAUAUUUGUGCGUCAGAGGUGAAAUUCUUGGAUCGCAGAAAGAUGAGCUAAGGCGAAAGCAUUUACCAAGGAUGUUUUCAUUAA
rnacentral:rRNA from 1 species